rnacentral:rRNA from 1 species
AGUGAACGCUGGCGGUAGGCCUAACACAUGCAAGUCGAACGGCAGCACAGUAAGAGCUUGCUCUUACGGGUGGCGAGUGGCGGACGGGUGAGGAAUACAUCGGAAUCUACUUUUUCGUGGGGGAUAACGUAGGGAAACUUACGCUAAUACCGCAUACGACCUACGGGUGAAAGCAGGUGAUCUUCGGACCUUGCGCGAUUGAAUGAGCCGAUGUCGGAUUAGCUAGUUGGCGGGGUAAAGGCCCACCAAGGCGACGAUCCGUAGCUGGUCUGAGAGGAUGAUCAGCCACACUGGAGCUGAGACACGGUCCAGACUCCUACGGGAGGCAGCAGUGGGGAAUAUUGGACAAUGGGCGCAAGCCUGAUCCAGCCAUACCGCGUGGGUGAAGAAGGCCUUCGGGUUGUAAAGCCCUUUUGUUGGGAAAGAAAAGCAGCAGGUUAAUACCCCGCUGUUCUGACGGUACCCAAAGAAUAAGCACCGGCUAACUUCGUG